GUAUUUCCGCGGGCGCUGAGCACUAGAGAGAGCGUCUUGUGGCUGCGGCCUGCCCCUCAGCCUCCUCCGCGCGGUUACCCCUGUACCCGCCGCCAUCCGUCCUGGCGCUCCGGAUGAGUCAAUGAGGGGCAGGGCCCGAGGAGUGGUCUUCCCAAGAACCCCUGGUGGCCUCCCAAGGCCGGUGCUGUGUACCUCCUCCCCGACAAAAGGGGAAACUGAGGCCCCGAGGGGAGUGGGAAGAGCCGGCUGGACGUCAGGCCCAGCCGCUGGUGCAGUGGUCCGUCCCCUCUGCCGGGGUGGGCCCCUCGGGUUUCGCGUGUCCUCGGGAAAGAGACUGGCGGGCCUCGUGGGCUGUGCGGCUAUCCUGGAGACAGAUGACAGCUCUCCCUUGGAUGGCUUUGCUGGUUCCGCACCAGCCAGCGCCCCCAUUUUUCCUGCAGCACCCUGAUCUGCACUCCCUGAGGGGCUCCCACUGUCCGCGGUGUGAGGAUGUCCCUGGAUAGUCCACUGUGUGCAGAGGCAUGGGAGUUGUCAUGUUGGGAACAUGCUAGACCUCAGUAUCCUUGAGCUUGAAGAAAGACGACAGAACACUGGAGACCAAGUACUUACAGCCUUCUGCUCUGUGGCCCCUCCUCACUCCAGGGAUGCUGCCUUGGGUCUGGAAACUGUUAGAGGAAACCCCAAGAGGUGCAGGCACUGAGCCUCUCAGGACAAUGACCUGGGGUCCCAGCUCCCCUGGAGGGGCCUCCUCAUGAUUGUUUGGGGGUUGAUCACAGACCAAGAGUGACGAGUGAUGUCACCCUGUGACUCAUGGCUGGACCUUCUUGCCCCUAUUGUCUCAGCACAACAUUAUUCGACUUUUCCCUCAGCGUGGGUGGGCAGAGGAAAAGCCCUGUGGCUCUGGGGACUUGGGAUCCAGAGUUGAAGACCCUUCAGCUGGCUCUGCCCUGCCAGUGCCACAGAGUGCCAUGGCCCAGGAAGACAGGUUUUCUUCCAUCUAGGCCAGGCCAUCCAGUGGCCAUCCUCCGUGUCCUCCCGCCUCCUCCUGGUGUGACUUCUGAAAACCAAGAAUUUGUUCCUGUUGACUUUUUCUGUGCUAUGGACCAUUGUCCUCUCACCCACUCAAUAAAUCUUGAAACAUGC
rnacentral:lncRNA from 1 species